AACCUCAACUUACAGCAUUCGAAUCUCUUCAUGAAGUUUUCUUUCAUUAUACAGCUAAUGUGGAAACUCACAAACCGAUAAAAUGUUGACGAAUUAUCAGCUGUCACUCCUGACGCUCAAAAUUGCCUAACGAAUUCGUUUAAAAAAGCUUUUGAUGAUCCGAAAUUCUGCGACUUGUUUUUCGAGGUGGAAGGUAAAACGAUUCCAGUCCAUAAAUCGAUAUUAGCAGUGCGAUGUGAACAUUUCGCCGAAGAAUUUCAGAAAGAUUGGCGGGUUGAAAAACCGAGUGUUCUAAAAAUUGAAGACUGCGAUUUCAAAAUCUACAAAGCUUUCCUCAAAUACAUUUACACCGAUGAAAUCGACGAUACGUUAUCCUUCAACGAAAUUAUAGAAUUACUCAACUUGUCGAAUAAAUAUGGCAUGGAAUCAUUAGCUGAGCGUUGUGUAUCAUUGGUUCAAACCAGUAUUACCGUUGAUAAUGUCGUAUCUCUGUACGAACGUGUAAUUGAAAUGAGUAAAGUAACGAAGUUGAAAAAUGUUUUCGAUCAGUUUAAAGAAGCCUGUGUGAAAUUCGCCGCUGACAAUUUUUUCGCGAUGGGAAUUUCAAACGAAUUUGCUCAGUUGAAUGAGAAAUUGUUAAGAGAAUUAAUCCGGGAUGUUUGUAAGCAGAAAUUUAAGCAAUAAAAAUUAAGGUAGGUAAUUCAUUAUAUCGAAGUUUAGGUGUUCUUUCACAUCUGCUUAUCCACUUUGUGCUUGUGAUUUUUAAAAGACUUUGUAGAAUUGAGUAGUGAG